rnacentral:rRNA from 1 species
UACGUAGGGUGCGAGCGUUGUCCGGAAUUACUGGGCGUAAAGGGUGUGUAGGCGGUUCCCUAAGUUUGGUGUGAAAUCUCCCGGCUCAACUGGGAGGGUGCGCCGAAAACUGGGGGGCUAGAGUACUGGAUGGGAGAGUGGAAUUCCUGGUGUAGCGGUGAAAUGCGUAGAUAUCUGGAGGAACACCGGUGGCGAAGGCGGCACCCUGGACCGGCAUUGACGCUGAGGCGCGAAAGCCAGGGGAGCAAACGGG